AACAGGAUUAGAUACCCUGGUAGUCCAUGCCGUAAACGUUGGGCACUAGGUGUGGGGCGGGUUCCACUCGCUCUGUGCCGUAGCUAACGCAUUAAGUGCCCCGCCUGGGGAGUACGGCCGCAAGGCUAAAACUCAAAGGAAUUGACGGGGGCCCGCACAAGCGGCGGAGCAUGCGGAUUAAUUCGAUGCAACGCGAAGAACCUUACCAAGGCUUGACAUGUACGAGAACGCGUUAGAGAUAACGAACUCUUUGGACACUCGUACACAGGUGGUGCAUGGUUGUCGUCAGCUCGUGUCGUGAGAUGUUGGGUUAAGUCCCGCAACGAGCGCAACCCUUAUCCUAUGUUGCCAGCGGGUUAUGCCGGGGACUCAUGGGAGACUGCCGGGGUCAACUCGGAGGAAGGUGGGGAUGACGUCAAAUCAUCAUGCCCCUUAUGUCUUGGGCUUCACGCAUGCUACAAUGGCCGGUACAGAGGGCUGCGAUACCGUGAGGUGGAGCGAAUCCCAAAAAGCCGGUCUCAGUUCGGAUCGGGGUCUGCAACUCGACCCCGUGAAGUCGGAGUCGCUAGUAAUCGCAGAUCAGCAACGCUGCGGUGAAUACGUUCCCGGGCCUUGUACACACCGCCCGUCAAGUCACGAAAGUUGGUAACACCCGAAGCUCACGGCCCAACCCGUAAGGGAGGGAGUGGUCGAAGGUGGGACUGGCGAUUGGGACUAAGUCGUAACAAGGUAACC
rnacentral:rRNA from 1 species